rnacentral:misc_RNA from 1 species
UCUCCGUUGGUGAACCAGCGGAGGGAUCAUUACAGGGUCUUCGACUGCCCAAAAAACACCUGUGAACCUUUUUUUUUUAAGCAAAAGACUGCGGCGGGCGACUCGCUGGAGGAGUCGUCAAGAGCCCGCCGGAGUCGACGCUGAAGCUGUUGCGCCGAGAAAAUUCUUCUGACUAUUAUGCGCCCCUGCUUAGGCGGGGUAAGUAAAAAAUAAAUCACAACCCAUAACAAUGGAUCUCUUGGCUCCG